AAGUCGUAACAAGGUUUCCGUAGGUGAACCUGCGGAAGGAUCAUUAACGAUUGAAGAAAAUUCAGUCAAAUGAGAGAGAGAUAUUGGUGGGUAAAAAGCAUAGAAUUAUUACUGGGGUUGCUGAGCUGUGCCAGAGUCCCGAGUGGACUGGCCGGUGGAAGCGACAUUACUGCAAGCAUUAAAGAGCCCUCUAUGUUGUGACUGAGUCAAUUUUGCAGUCACAGGGCCGCCCCGACCAAGUUAUACUGUGUUUUCGCACAGUUCUUGCCCCGGCAAGAUUUAUAUAUUGUAUUAUGCUGAGAAAUAUGAAUAAUAAAAGUGAAACACAACUGUAAGCGGUGGAUCACUCGGCUCACAG
rnacentral:misc_RNA from 1 species